rnacentral:rRNA from 1 species
AACGUAGGACGCAAGCGUUAUCCGGAAUUACUAGGCGUAAAGCGCGUGUAGGUGGUUGCAUAAGUCACUGUUGAAAGCUCCCGGCUAAACUGGGAGAGGUGCGGUGAGACUGUGUGGCUAGAGUAUGGGAGAGGGAUGCAGAAUUCCGGGUGUAGUGGUGAAAUGCGUAGAGAUCCGGAGGAAUACCAGAGGCGAAGGCGGCAUCCUGGCCUGUUACUGACACUGAGACGCGAAAGCAUGGGGAGCGAACGGG